AUUGAACGCUGGCGGCAUGCCUUACACAUGCAAGUCGAACGGUAACGGGCCUUCGGGUGCCGACGAGUGGCGAACGGGUGAGUAAUACAUCGGAACGUGCCCGAUCGUGGGGGAUAACGAGGCGAAAGCUUUGCUAAUACCGCAUACGAUCUACGGAUGAAAGCAGGGGACCGCAAGGCCUUGCGCGGACGGAGCGGCCGACGGCAGAUUAGGUAGUUGGUGGGAUAAAAGCUUACCAAGCCGACGAUCUGUAGCUGGUCUGAGAGGAUGAUCAGCCACACUGGGACUGAGACACGGCCCAGACUCCUACGGGAGGCAGCAGUGGGGAAUUUUGGACAAUGGGCGCAAGCCUGAUCCAGCCAUGCCGCGUGCAGGAUGAAGGCCUUCGGGUUGUAAACUGCUUUUGUACGGAACGAAAAGCCUUCUUUUAAUACAGGAGGGUCAUGACGGUACCGUAAGAAUAAGCACCGGCUAACUACGUG
rnacentral:rRNA from 1 species